UUUAUGGAGAGUUUGAUCCUGGCUCAGAGUGAACGCUGGCGGCGUGCCUAAUACAUGCAAGUCGAACGAUGAAGCUUCUAGCUUGCUAGAGUGCUGAUUAGUGGCGCACGGGUGAGUAACGCAUAGGUCAUGUGCCUCUUAGUUUGGGAUAGCCAUUGGAAACGAUGAUUAAUACCAGAUACUCCCUACGGGGGAAAGAUUUAUCGCUAAGAGAUCAGCCUAUGUCCUAUCAGCUUGUUGGUAAGGUAAUGGCUUACCAAGGCUAUGACGGGUAUCCGGCCUGAGAGGGUGAACGGACACACUGGAACUGAGACACGGUCCAGACUCCUACGGGAGGCAGCAGUAGGGAAUAUUGCUCAAUGGGGGAAACCCUGAAGCAGCAACGCCGCGUGGAGGAUGAAGGUUUUAGGAUUGUAAACUCCUUUUGUUAGAGAAGAUAAUGACGGUAUCUAACGAAUAAGCACCGGCUAACUCCGUGCCAGCAGCCGCGGUAAUACGGAGGGUGCAAGCGUUACUCGGAAUCACUGGGCGUAAAGAGCGCGUAGGCGGGAUAGUCAGUCAGGUGUGAAAUCCUAUGGCUUAACCAUAGAACUGCAUUUGAAACUACUAUUCUAGAGUGUGGGAGAGGUAGGUGGAAUUCUUGGUGUAGGGGUAAAAUCCGUAGAGAUCAAGAGGAAUACUCAUUGCGAAGGCGACCUGCUGGAACAUUACUGACGCUGAUUGCGCGAAAGCGUGGGGAGCAAACAGGAUUAGAUACCCUGGUAGUCCACGCCCUAAACGAUGGAUGCUAGUUGUUGGAGGGCUUAGUCUCUCCAGUAAUGCAGCUAACGCAUUAAGCAUCCCGCCUGGGGAGUACGGUCGCAAGAUUAAAACUCAAAGGAAUAGACGGGGACCCGCACAAGCGGUGGAGCAUGUGGUUUAAUUCGAAGAUACACGAAGAACCUUACCUAGGCUUGACAUUGAGAGAAUCCGCUAGAAAUAGUGGAGUGUCUGGCUUGCUAGACCUUGAAAACAGGUGCUGCACGGCUGUCGUCAGCUCGUGUCGUGAGAUGUUGGGUUAAGUCCCGCAACGAGCGCAACCCCCUUUCUUAGUUGCUAACAGGUCAUGCUGAGAACUCUAAGGAUACUGCCUCCGUAAGGAGGAGGAAGGUGGGGACGACGUCAAGUCAUCAUGGCCCUUACGCCUAGGGCUACACACGUGCUACAAUGGGGUGCACAAAGAGAAGCAAUACUGCGAAGUGGAGCCAAUCUUCAAAACACCUCUCAGUUCGGAUUGUAGGCUGCAACUCGCCUGCAUGAAGCUGGAAUCGCUAGUAAUCGCAAAUCAGCCAUGUUGCGGUGAAUACGUUCCCGGGUCUUGUACUCACCGCCCGUCACACCAUGGGAGUUGUGUUUGCCUUAAGUCAGGAUGCUAAAUUGGCUACUGCCCACGGCACACACAGCGACUGGGGUGAAGUCGUAACAAGGUAACCGUAGGUGAACCUGCGGUUGGAUCACCUCCUUUCUAGA
rnacentral:rRNA from 1 species